rnacentral:rRNA from 1 species
AACGAACGCUGGCGGCAUGCCUAACACAUGCAAGUCGAACGAGACCUUCGGGUCUAGUGGCGCACGGGUGCGUAACGCGUGGGAACCUGCCCUUAGGUUCGGAAUAACUCCCCGAAAGGGGUGCUAAUACCGGAUAAUGUCUUCGGACCAAAGAUUUAUCGCCUUUGGAUGGGCCCGCGUUGGAUUAGCUAGUUGGUAGGGUAAAAGCCUACCAAGGCGACGAUCCAUAGCUGGUCUGAGAGGAUGAUCAGCCACACUGGGACUGAGACACGGCCCAGACCCCGGGGGAAGGCGGGAGGGGGGAAGUUUGGAAAAGGGGCGAAAGCCUGACCCAGCAAGGCCGGGGAGGUGAUGAAGGCCUUAGGUUGUAAAGGCUCUUUUACCCGGGAUGUUAAGGACGGGACCGGGGAAAAAGGCCCGGGUAAACCCCGG